UGAAAUUAAAUGGGAACCGAUUGGAUUUUUGCAUACUGAUUGGCGAGCCCAUGACAUCACUGCGUUAUACCCCUCCUCCCUCCUUUUUACUGUUUGCUGCCUGAAUCUCUCUAUUUCCACGUAUCUUCAGUUUUUGUCCCUUUUUUUGUUGUUUUUGUCACAUACUUUAUUCCCGCAAGCCAAAAAUAAAUCCGGAGAAAGACGGAAGGAAAUUCUGAAAGGAGUUUUUUUUUUAACGACAAGGGACGGCGGAGUAUUAACGAUUGAGCCGGACACUCUCACCAAGGAGAAGUGUGGUGAAUGGAAUGGCUGGAGUAGAUCAGAGGAGGAGGCAGUCAACCCACACUACCUUCGGGACGUGGAAGUUACCAGGGCGUCCAGGCAAUGCUCAGAGGUGGAUCUCAACAGACAUGGUGCCUGAGAGCACAGAACACAAGCUGCUGCUCACCAGCUCCAAUGUCUUCCCAAGAAAUGCCAUCAAGUGCUGAUAGUUUUUAGAACUACAAAUGUGAAUAACUUGCUGUCAGAGCGUGAGAACUGCAGCAAGGCUAAGCAUUGGACAGAGACCUACAUGCUCCUUUUAAUCGGAUAUCUGCCCGUUGAGUCACUGAGAAAUGGCUUCACCGGAUGGGCUUGGGAUCAAUGCAUCUUGAGAAGGGUCAUGACUUCUUGUGCAUCAUGUGGGGAAGGGUAUCCCUACUCUCCGGCAGAUGUUUUAUCUGAGGGACAGAUGGAUAUUUUGGCUGACUGAACAGAAGUAUCCUUUAACAGCUUGCGGGCCAAACGGAAAUGCUAAUGUGAAGUGUCUUUUUCUCCCUCUAAUAAGUGCACAAAACUUUUCUCGGGUGAGGUUUGUUCUCCAAACCCUCACCUCUUUCAAUAAGUUUGUGUCGACGUGAUCCCGGGAAAAAAAGAGAACAGGUAAUGAUGAAAAUACCUUUCUUAUGAAAAUGACUUUUUUAAGAAAAUGUGUUCAUGACUUUGAGAUGAUCCUGACGAAAAGUGGGGUUCCUGAAGAGUUUUUUUUACAAUAUUAAGUUCUUAAAGGGCACUGAUGAGGAACAGGUAAUCUGAUAAACGCUGGCUAAGUUAAUAGGAAGAACUCCCAUGCUCUUUGAAAUAAUGCUGUCAAGUCUUGUAGAGCCACAUGAGAAAAUAGUGGUUGAUUCAUUAUCUCACCUGAGAAAUGACACCACCUACUGUUCAGCACUCCCUUGAGGCUGCACUGGAUUUUCAUUGCGGUAUGUCCUCCGAGUCUGCGAGUGGGACUUAUACUGAGUUCAAAGCCAAUGAAUACCACAAUUGCUUUUAUUCUUCAGACCAGAGUAUUGCAAUUAAUUUCAACAGUGAUGACCCAUCCCCUAUGACGUUCACCAACAGGUAAGACCCAUGAGCUUAUCUGCCACUUGUUCACAGUGUUAUUAACGUGUUUUUUUUUGGUAAGGUGGGGUAAGGAAGGACAUACAAAUGCUUACUACGGUCAUUCAACAUCUAGGGUUGCUAGAUGUAUGAGAA